GGGGGAGCCUGGGAAGGGCUGGCGGAGAGGGAAGGUCUAGAUGGUCCUAGGGGGAUAACAGGGCCUGGGCUGUGCCCAUCUUAUAGAUGGGAAUAGUGAGUCCUGGGAACUUAGCUAAGGCACAGGUAAGCUUCUCUAGACACUAUGCAGUGAAUCUGACGAAAGCGCCAGGGUUCCGGCUUCCACUUCCUUGUUCAGUGUCUUUAUUCGGGAUGUCUCACCUGUGCUGUCCAAGAAGGGCGUUGCAAACAGUUACAGGUGUCUCAGCCAUGAAUCUAGGGGUGAGAAAAGAAACCUCCCCUCACCUACAAGGUCAAAGCGCAGGUAUGGGUCCUGGCAGGACCCAUCAGCAGAAUCUGGCUGGAAAACUCUCACGCUAAAAACAGCCAGCUGUGAUAUGAUGAGCAGCCCUAUGGAGAGGGUGUGUGGGAAGAACCUGAAGUCUCCAGCCAGCAGCCACAUGAAUACAUCAUCUUGGAAGCAGAUCCUCCAGCCCCAGUCCAGCCUUCAGAUGACUGCAGCCCUGGUCAACAUCUCAACUGCAGUCUCAUGAGAGACUCCAGACCAGAACCACCCUGCUGAGCCUCUUUUGGAUUCUUGACCCUCAGAAACCCUGUGAGAUCAUAAAUGCCAGUCGUUUUAAGCUGCUAAGUUUUGGGGUCAUUUGUUAGCCAGCAAGAUAACAAAUACAGAUCUGCAUGAAACAUACAAGCAGAAGGAAGUAGGCAGUCAGGUCUACAAGUCUGAAAUUCAGGGAAGCAGUUCAGGCUGAAAUAUAAAUUUGAGAGUUAUUAACAUAUAGGUGAUAUUAAAAGCCAUCAGGAGCAAAGGUUUCUCUUUUUAUGGAAGCUUUCUCCACUUCCCUACUCCCUCUUCUGCGCUCUGAUGUUGGCUUGCCUUUGCUGUGAGGUUGCACGGCGAUGGCUUUGCUGUGCGCCCAUCUGACCAUUAGGUUCAGACAUAACUGAGUCUUCUUUGGAUCUUCUUCUAAACUUGGUACAAACUGGAAGUGCUUAAUAAAUGCUUUUGGGAUGCUAUGAAUGCACAGGGGAGCUUAGAGGGUGAAGCGGACACUGUAAGUGUUAUGACUCUAUCCCUUUUUGCACGGUUGGGCUAACUUUCAACUGCCAGCUUUGGCCUCUCACAGCCUUGGUACCUCCAACCCCUGCAUUGGGAGGCCCCAGAAAAGCCUAGAAUGACCAUCUCCCAGAAGCAGCCCUCAGCUGAAGAUCAUCAUGAGUUGACAUAUAAACAUCUCAGCUUACCCCUUAUGUAGGUUUGGGAGUGGAUGGUUCCAGAUCCUGUGUUUUGCGUUGUUUCUCAGUUUCCUCACAGGAUGCAGCCCUAGUGCCCACUUUGGCAGUGGGCUUAGAACAGCCCUUCCCUGGCUGCCUUCCCUUCUCUGGGUCAUUUCCCUGCUCUCCUGCUGGGGCUCCCCCCAUAGCCAGUACCUCUCAAAUAAACAAUUUGUGCUCAAAUCCGCUCAGGAACUGCUUCUUAGGGAACCAAACCGUGAUUAUGGAGAGGCAGAGCGUGGAUAUGUGGAG
rnacentral:lncRNA from 1 species